GACGAACGCUGGCGGCGUGCUUAACACAUGCAAGUCGAACGGAAAGGCCCCUUUGGGGGUACUCGAGUGGCGAACGGGUGAGUAACACGUGAGUAACCUGCCCUUGACUUCGGGAUAACUUCAGGAAACUGGGGCUAAUACCGGAUAGGAAUCCUUGCUGCAUGGUGGGGGUUGGAAAGCUUCGGCGGUUUUGGAUGGACUCGCGGCUUAUCAGCUUGUUGGUGGGGUAGUGGCUUACCAAGGCUUUGACGGGUAGCCGGCCUGAGAGGGCGACCGGCCACAUUGGGACUGAGAUACGGCCCAGACUCCUACGGGAGGCAGCAGGGGGGAAUAUUGCACAAUGGGCGGAAGCCGGAUGCAGCAACGCCGCGUGCGGGAUGACGGCCUUCGGGUUGUAAACCGCUUUCAGCAGGGGCGAAGCUUGUGGUGACGGUACCUGCAGAAGAAGCACCGGCUAACUACGUG
rnacentral:rRNA from 1 species